ensembl:lncRNA
CUUUUCUUUUUUUUUCUUUUUUUGUCUUUUUGGACUGCACCCACCGCAUAUGGAGAUUCCCAGGCUAGGGGUCGAAUCUGAGCCGCAGAUGCUGGCCUAUGCCACAGCAAAAUGGGAUCCAAACUGUGUCUGCGACCUACACCACAGCUCAUGGCAACGAUGAAUCCUUAACCCACUGAGCAAGGCCUGGGAUCAAACCUGCAUCCUCAUGGAUACUAGUCGGGUUUGUUAACCACUGAGCCACGACAGGAACUCCAGGCCUAAGCUUUCUAACACAUGAUAUAUAACUUUUCUCUACUUGAUGAUGAGUUGGUGCCUGGGCUGCAGCCCUAAAAAGCAAAACAAAACAAAAAAAACCCAAACAAACAAACAAAAACUUUCAAGAAACAGAAUCCCUGCAUGCAAAUAACUGGGCAUGUUUGCCCAAAUUUCUUCUGAAGUCUGAGGCAAGAAGCUUCAUGGAGCUAGAAAAGAGUCAGACAUCUCAGAUCCUUUUCUUCCAAUUAUAUUCAUUCGCUUAAAUAUUUAGUGAGCCCUUCCUAUGUACCAAGUAUCUUCAUGGCACACAGGCUACAUCAAUGAAUAAGACAAACAAAUUUCUCUCCUUUUGGUACUUACCUAUUGGUGCAGGAUUAUUAUCCCUAGUCGUGGGUCUUUUCUCUACAUGGCAGGAACCAGAGACAGUUUGUCCACAUUCAGUAUAUUUUGCCAACCAAACAUUUUUUCCCCUAAUAAUCUUUCCCUCCUAUAAAUUGCAGAGAACUUUGUACCAUCCUACUAAAACGUAUCUUGCCUUAUCUUGUAACUCAGGUAUUUUUAUACUUGCUUUAUUUUUAGCAGGUUAUAAAUUUUUUUUCUUUUAAUAUUGGUAUGUAGUGUAGCUUGUGCAGAGCCCAAUACCCACAGAGCAAGCAGUCUGGACCUACAGGGCCUUGCUCCCUGCUGUGUUCCCAGCCUGCCAGGAAGUUCCUGGCACAGGGUCAUGCUCAAUCAGCACUAGUUCGGUCAAUGAAUUCCAGAUGGCUUUGGCUCAUCUUGAAACUGAAAAACUCAGAUUGAAACUUGAAUUCCACCCAAACCCAGUUUUCGAUUUGAAUCCACUGUUUUUUUUUUUGUUUGUUUGUUUGUUUUUGUCUUUUGUCCUUUCAGUGCCACACCCUCGGCAUAUGGAGGUUCCAAGGCUAGGGGUCUAAUCAGAGCUGUAGCCCCCAGCUUAUGCCAGAGCCACAGCAAAGCCAGAUCCGAGCCGCAUCUGCCACCUACACCACAGCUCAGGGCAACGCCGGAUCCUCAACCCACUGAGCAAGGCCAAGGAUCGAACCUGCAACCUAAUGGUUCCUAGUUAGAUUCGUUUCCACUGUGCCACGAUGGGAACUCCAUAAUUUUACUUAAUAUUUUUAAAAUCCGUUUUUUUGUUUGUUUGUUUGUUUUGUCUUUUGGGGGCUUUACUCAUGGCAUAUGGGGUCGAAUUGGAGGUACAGCUGCCGUUCUACGCCACAGCCACAGCAACACAGGAUCCGAGCUCUAUCUGCAACCUACACCACAGCUCACAGCAAUGCUGGAUCCCUGACCCACUGAGUGAGGCCAGGGAUCGAACCUGUAUCCUCAUGGAUACUAGUCAGAUUUGUUUCCACUGCACCACCACGGGAACUCCCAAGGCUAAUUUUUUAAUGACAACUGAAGAAACUAGAAAUUCCAAAAGUUUAAUUUUUUCAGUAAUACAAAAGUCUAAAAAUACUUUC